CCUACGGGCGGCAGCAGUGAGGAAUAUUGGUCAAUGGACGAGAGUCUGAACCAGCCAAGUAGCGUGAAGGAUGACUGCCCUAUGGGUUGUAAACUUCUUUUAUAAAGGAAUAAAACGAGGCACGUGUGCCUUUUUGCAUGUACUUUAUGAAUAAGGAUCGGCUAACUCCGUGCCAGCAGCCGCGGUAAUACGGAGGAUCCGAGCGUUAUCCGGAUUUAUUGGGUUUAAAGGGAGCGUAGAUGGGUUGUUAAGUCAGUUGUGAAAGUUUGCGGCUCAACCGUAAAAUUGCAAUUGAUACUGGCAGUCGUGAGUACAGUUGAGGUAAGCGGAAUUCGUGGUGUAGCGGUGAAAUGCUUAGAUAUCACGAAGAACCCCGAUUGCGAAGGCAGCUUACUAAACUGUGACUGACAUUGAUGCUCGAAAGUGUGGGUAUCAAACAGGAUUAGAUACCCGUGUAGUC
rnacentral:rRNA from 1 species